CUGAAUCGUCGACAUGAGUUGUUGCUGGUCCCUGUAUGGGGGCAUGUGCACGCUCUGUUUACACAUCCACUCACACCUGUGCACCCUCUGUAGUUCUAUGGCCUGGAGGGCUCUGUCCUCUGGCUGUGGUUCUACGUCUUUACACACACACCACAAUGAAGUCUCAUGGAAUGUAUGUCGCGUUUAACGCAUUGAAAUA
rnacentral:misc_RNA from 1 species